rnacentral:rRNA from 1 species
GACGAACGCUGGCGGCGUGCUUAACACAUGCAAGUCGAAGAUAGUGGCGAACGGGUGAGUAAUACGUAGUAACCUGCCCUACUUUUUGGGAUAAACCUUGGAAACGGGGUCUAAUACCGAAUAAAGGGGGAUGGGCUCGCGGGCGAUGAGCUUGUUGGUGGGGUGAUGGCCUACCACGGCGACGAUCCGUAACUGGUCUGAGAGGAUGAUCAUCCACACUGGAACUGAGACACGGUCCAGACUCCUACGGGAGGCAGCAGUGGGGAAUAGUGGACAAUGGGCGAAAGCCUGAUCCAGCCAUGCCGCGUGUGUGAAGAAGGUCUUCGGAUUGUAAAGCACUUUAAGUUGGGAGGCGUUACCAACAGAAUAAGCACCGGCUAACUUCGUGCCAGCCGCCGCGGUAAUAC